rnacentral:rRNA from 1 species
CCUACGGGAGGCAGCAGUGGGGAAUAUUGCACAAUGGGGGAAACCCUGAUGCAGCAACACCGCGUGAGUGAGGAAGUAUUUCGGUAUGUAAAGCUCUAUCAGCAGGGAAUAGAAAAGAAGGUACCUGAAAAAGAAGCCCCGGCUAACUACGUGCCAGCAACCGCGGUAAUACGUAGGGGGCAAGCGUUAACCGUAUUUACUGGGUGUAAAGGGAGCGUAGACGGAAAGGCAAGUCAGAAGGGAAAGCCCAAGGCUCAACCAUGGGACUGCUUUUGAAACUGGCAAACUGGAGUGUGUGAGGGUAUAGUGGAAUUCCAGGUGUAUGAGUGAAAUCCGUAGAUAUCUGGAGGAACAUCAGUGGCGAAGGCGACUAUCUGGCACAUAACUGACGCUGAGGAGCGAAAGCGUGGGUAGCAAACAGGAUUAGAUACCCUGGUAGUC